AACGAACGCUGGCGGCAGGCUUAACACAUGCAAGUCGAACGCAUCGCAAGAUGAGUGGCAGACGGGUGAGUAACGCGUGGGAACAUACCCUUUUCUACGGAAUAGCCCUGUGAAACUGGAAUUAAUACCGUAUACGCCCUACGUGGGAAAGAUUUAUCGGAGAAGGAUUGGCCCGCGUUGGAUUAGCUAUUUGGUGGGGUAAAGGCCUACCAAGGCGACGAUCCAUAGCUGGUCUGAGAGGAUGAUCAGCCACAUUGGGACUGAGACACGGCCCAAGCUCCUACGGGAGGCAGCAGUGGGGAAUAUUGGACAAUGGGCGCAAGCCUGAUCCAGCCAUGCCGCGUGAGUGAUGAAGGCCUUAGGGUUGUAAAGCUCUUUCACCGAUGAAGAUAAUGACGGUAGUCGGAGAAGAAGCCCCGGCUAACUUCGUGCCAGCAGCCGCCGUAA
rnacentral:rRNA from 1 species